AUAUAUUCAUUCAGCCCCCUCUCGCUGGAAGGCUUUUCCCAUACAUUUUCACAGGACACAUUUGACCCCCCUUGAUCAGAUACAGAAUUUUGCACUCACAUAAUUUCUUCUCCAAGGCAGGCCAUCCUCUCGCAAUCUCACAUAGCCCCUCAGACUCUGCAGCCGUGACCCACUGCUGACUUGUUACCCUGGCUCUCACCUUCCUCCUCCCCCUUACUCUCUGACAUCCCAGCCUCACAGUAAUUUAAUACAGGCACAUCACUACUCACCCCUAUCUCACAUUUGGUAGACAUCACUGGUUCAGUUACAGGUAGAUCUUUAUCCACACCCUGCUCUCCCUCCCAGCAAUCACACUUCACAAUGUCUCCCAAAGUUUCACACAAUACCUUAGGUGGAGCAGUCAGCCCUUCUGGC